rnacentral:lncRNA from 1 species
CACCUCUCUCUGCCAGACACCCCAGCUGGACUCCGGUCGAUAGGCCUGGACCCCCUGGCAGGCCGCAGUAACGGCCACAGCACUGCUCCACUUCUUGCGACGGAUUCCACGCGGCUCCAUCACUCCCUGGUAGGCCACAAUAAUGGCCACGAUCCUACUCCACUUCCUGCGACGGAUUCCACGCGGCUCCAUCACUCCCUGGC